rnacentral:tRNA from 1 species
GCCCAGGUCGCCUAACCUGGUAGGGCACUGGUUUGCUAAACCAGCGUAGCUUGCUACUUGUGGGUUCAAAUCCCACCCUGGGCG